GCCCUCCUAGCUCAAUUGGCAGAGCAGCUGACUCUUAAUCAGCGGGUUGUAGGUUCAAGUCCUACGGGGGGCA
rnacentral:tRNA from 1 species